GAAAGACCGGUGCAAGCACAGGAGGAGGGACACAGGCAAAUCCGUAUCCCAAUCCAAUGGUGUUACGCGGAGCGAACAAAAGUAGCAAAGCACACAGACCAUCUGUCGAGAAAAGCCGCUAUUGUGUAUACCGUACCCGUACCGUAAACCGACACAGGUGGAUGAGGAGAGAAUCCUAAGGCCGGCGGGAGAAGCAUUGUUAAGGAACUCGGCAAAAUGACCCCGUAACUUCGGGAGAAGGGGUGCUCACGCAAGUGAGCCGCAGAGAACUGGCCCAAGCAACUGUUUAGCAAAAACACAGGUCUAUGCAAAACCGAAAGGUGAGGUAUAUGGGCUGACGCCUGCCCGGUGCUGGGAGGUUAAGAGGAGAUGUUAGAGCAAUCGAAGCAUUGAAUUUAAGCCCCAGUAAACGGCGGCCGUAACAAUAACGGUCCUAAGGUAGCGAAAUUCCUUGUCGGGUAAGUUCCGACCCGCACGAAAGGCGUAAUGAUUUGGGCACUGUCUCGACAAUGCACCCGGUGAAAUUGAAAUACCAGUGAAGAUGCUGGUUACCUGCGCCAGGACGGAAAGACCCCAUGGAGCUUUACUCUAGCUUGAUACUGGGAUUCGGUAUUGCAUGUACAGGAUAGGUGGGAGACGAAGAGGUGAUGACGCCAGUUGUCACGGAGUCGGUGUUGGGAUACCACCCCUGCAGUACUGGGUUUCUAACCUGCGGCCGUGACCCGGCCGGGGGACAAUGUCUGGUGGGGAGUUUGACUGGGGCGGUCGCCUCCGAAAGGGUAUCGGAGGCGCUCAAAGGUUCCCUCAGAAUGGUUGGAAACCAUUCGAAGAGUGCAAAGGCAGAAGGGAGCUUGACUGCGACACCGACGGGUGGAGCAGGUACGAAAGUAGGACUUAGUGAUCCGGUGGUAUGAAAGUGGGAUUGCCAUCGCUCAACGGAUAAAAGCUACCCUGGGAUAACAGGCUUAUCACUCCCAAGAGUUCACAUCGACGGAGUGGUUUGGCACCUCGAUGUCGGCUCAUCGCAUCCUGGGGCUGUAGUAGGUCCCAAGGGUUGGGCUGUUCGCCCAUUAAAGCGGUACGCGAGCUGGGUUCAGAACGUCGUGAGACAGUUCGGUCCCUAUCCGGCGUGGGCGCAGGAUAUCUGAGAGGAGCUGUCCUUAGUACGAGAGGACCGGGAUGGACUGACCUCUGGUGCAUCGGUUGAGCCACCAGGCUCAUGGCCGAGUAGCCAAGUCGGGACGGGAUAAACGCUGAAGGCAUCUAAGCAUGAAGCCCCCCUCAAGAUGAGAUAUCCCAUAGAGUUAAUCUAGUAAGACCCCUUGAAGACGACGAGGUAGAUAGGCAGAAGGUGGAAGUGUGGUGACAUAUGGAGCUGAUCUGUACUAAUAGGUCGAGGGCUUAAU
rnacentral:rRNA from 1 species